GACGAACGCUGGCGGCGUGCUUAACACAUGCAAGUCGAACGGAAAGGCCCUGCUUUUGUGGGUUGCUCGAGUGGCGAACGGGUGAGUAACACGUGAGUAACCUGCCCUUAACUUUCGGAUAACUUCAGGAAACUGCGGCUCAUACCGCGUAGGAGCUCCUGCUGCAUGGUGGGGGUUGGAAAGAUUCGGCGGUUUGGGAUGGACUCGCGGCUUAUCAGCUUGUUUGGGGGGUAGUGGCUUACCAAGCCUUUGACGGGUAGCCGGCCUGGGAGGGGUGCCGGGGACAUGAGGACUGAGAGAGGGACCAGAAGGCUACGGGAGGCAAUAGGGGGGAAUAUUGCAGAAUGGGCGGGAGUCUGAGGCAGCGACGCCGGGUGCGGGAAGACGGGCUUCGGGUUGUAAACCGCUGUCGCCUGUGACGAAGCGUGAGUGACGGUAAUGGGUAAAGAAGCACCGGCUAACUACGUG
rnacentral:rRNA from 1 species